GAUGAACGCUGGCGGCGUGCCUAAUACAUGCCAGUCGAGCGAACAGACGAGGAGCUUGUUCCUCUGACGUUAGCGGCGGACGGGUGAGUAACACGUGGAUAACCUACCUAUAAGACUGGGAUAACUUCGGGAAACCAGUGCUAAUACCGCAUAAUAUAUUGAACCGCAUGGUUCAAUAGUGAAAGACGCCUUUGCUGUCACCAAUAGAUGGAUCCGGGCCGAAUUAGUUAGUUGGUAAGGUAACGGCUUACCAAGGCAACGAUGCGUAGCCGACCUGAGAGGGUGAUCGGCCACACUGGAACUGAGACACGGUCCAGACUCCUACGGGAGGCAGCAGUAGGGAAUCUUCGGCAAUGGGCGAAAGCCUGACGGAGCAACGCCGCGUGAGUGAUGAAGGUCUUCGGAUCGUAAAACUCUGUUAUUAGGGAAGAACAAAUGUGUAAGUAAAUAUGCACGUCUUGACGGUACCUAAUCAGAAAGCCACGGCUAACUACGUG
rnacentral:rRNA from 1 species